rnacentral:lncRNA from 1 species
GCAGGUGCUCUCCUGUGUGUGUGUUUGUUUAGGGAAAUCACUGCAACCUCCCCCCACCUGUCUUCCUAACUUCCAGCGUCCAACGGACUUCAACUGACAAAUUCCAGGCUCAUGGUGAUGUUUUGCGAAAUUCUUCAUCUCAAGGUUAACAGCAAGUCACCGGCAGCUUUGCUCACACUCCUAAACUGUGACCAGGCCAUGAAGGAUUGUCAGUUCUCAGAGAAAGAAAAUGAGUUUCGGGGCGAGCUGGUGAACCAGCGGUGGACACGAGGCGAGAGGACCAGCAGCCGCUGUCAGGCCUCCCAGAGACUGCAGAGCCGUCGACCAAUCAUGGUGAGUGACAAGACCCCUGCAGCCCCUCCCUUUCCAACCCCCCCUCUUCUUCAUCACUCACUACCACCGCUC